rnacentral:rRNA from 1 species
GACGAACGCUGGCGGCGUGCUUAACACAUGCAAGUCGAACGGAAAGGCCCUGCUUUUGUGGGGUGCUCGAGUGGCGAACGUGUGAGUAACACGUGAGUAACCUGCCCUUGACUUUGGUAUAACUUCAGGAAACUGGGGCUAAUACCGGAUAGGAGCUCCUGCUGCAUGGUGGGGGUUGGAAAGUUUCGGCGGUUGGGGAUGGACUCGCGGCUUAUCAGCUUGUUGGUGGGGUAGUGGCUUACCAAGGCUUUGACGGGUAGCCGGCCUGAGAGGGUGACCGGCCACAUUGGGACUGAGAUGCGGCCCAGACUCCUACGGGAGGCAGCAGUGGGGAAUAUUGCACAAUGGGCGGAAGCCUGAUGCAGCAACGCCGCGUGCGGGAUGACGGCCUUCGGGUUGUAAACCGCUUUCGCCUGUGACGAAGCGUGAGUGACGGGAAUGGGUAAAGAAGCACCGGCUAACUACGUGC